rnacentral:tRNA from 1 species
AAGGCACUAGUAAAGUAGAUUAUUACACUGCUUUGUCAAGGCAGAAUCGUGAGUUUGAACCCCGCGCGCCUUA